GUCGUACUUUUGUCAUACCUGUUUAAAACCGUAUAAAGAUAAAUCAAAACAUUCUUGUGCCACUUCUUGUGAGGUAUGUUUACGCAACAACUGUCCGGAAACGGAUGUCCAAAUGGGCUGUUGUUCCUGUGGUCGAGUUUGUCGAUCUCUAGUGUGUUUCAAAAGCCAUAAAGAACAACGAACAGUCAAAAAUGAAAGUUAUCCCCCUGCCUGCGACCUGUUUUACCAAUGUACAAAAUGUAGAGUCGUUCUGGAACGUGUGAAGCGUUCCCCCGAGUUACACGUUUGCGAAGAAUGGCAGUGCCCUAACUGCCGAGAAUAUCAAACCGAGGAACAUAAUUGUUACCAGAAACCGUUUGGAUCCGACAUCGAAAAGCGAAACAAGAAAUUCUUCUUUUACGAUUUUGAGACACGGCAAGAUGACGUGUUCCAAUGUGAGGCGGGAUACAGUCCGUCUCGUGUCAGAUGUCGACAUUGCGUUUAAGAGCCACGUCAGUGCGUCAACUGUAGACUGUGUCAGAACUGCCGUGAUCCGUCCUGUGGUUUAAUGCAACACAAAGUUAACUUUGCAGUACUACAGAGCACUUGUCAUCAAUGCGAAAAAGAGGAAUUGGUAGAGGAUGCCACCUGCAGUCAUUGCGGAACACGAUGUGGAAAAUGCUCUCGGACACUCAAAGGAGAAUACGUUUCACCGCCAUGUCAAGACACGUGUGGAAAAAGGGAACUGGUGUUUUCCGGGGACUACGCCGCCGAACACUUUUGCGCUUACGUCACCAGUAAGCACUGCAAAGACUCGAUUUUAAUUGCACACAAUGCAAAAAGUUUUGACUUGUACCCCGUUUUAGAAGUUCUCAUCGACCGACACUCCAUUCGACCAAGCAAAAUCAUAUACAAUGGUUCCAAGAUCAUAAAGUUAAUGAUCGACGUGACGACCAUCGAAGAAAACGUUGCACAAGCAGACGGAACGUUAAAAACACAAACUACUUAUGGAGUCGACCCUUUCGAUUACGUCACCAUCGCAAGUGUAUGCAUGGGCGUAUUUAAGUCUUUAUUUUUGAAAGGCAAGGAAAAAAUACAAAUAACCAAAGACGGGGACACGAAAUGGUCCGACAUCGAACAUUUAAGAGGACUGCAAGUGGUCAACGUCGAAGAAGAAUCAUGGGUCUCCUUAGUCGACCUUCAACAUGACGAGAACGUGCAAAUAGGCAAACGACAGUUCGAGAGUCUAAUAGCAGUCGUUCCCUCUCAAGGGUAUACAAAACGCGAUAACUACAGUAAAGUUUCGAUUCAAUGGUUAGAGUGGUUAAUGGAAAAAAGCCGUCAGCGGGGAAACCCCAUUUAUAUUUCACACGCUCUUAACGGAGGUGAAUAUCAGAUUCCAGGCACGAACUACAGAUGUGACGGAUUUGUCCCCUCUCCAACCGGAAAAGGAACAGUUUACGAAUUUUAUGGUUGUGUGUUCCACGGUUGUCCGUCUUGUUACGCCGAAGAUCGUCAUCAUCUCAGACAUCCUUCCACCAAUCAGACGAUCCAGGAAUUAUAUGAAAUGACGAAGAAGAGAGAACGAGAGCUCAAGGAUCUAGGAUACAAAAACGAUUGCACGUGUUCCCUAGAGGAGAGGGCCAUCACGGGCACGUGGUGUACUCCUGAAAUUCAAAUGGCUCCGUCUAAAGGGUACACAAUCUUGAAUAUCUACGAAGUCUAUCACUUUGCCGAGUCGUCCAUGUACGACGCCGACUCGUGUGAGGGGGGAUUGUUUACUCAAGGUUGGGCAUGCAACAGUCCACGUUUAUUCACGAAACGGAGGCCGAAACAUUUUUUCAAAUGCUCUCUGAUCCGACCAAAAUCCCCCACAAUUUCCACAUCGUCUCAAAAGACAUUCUUCAUUUAGAAUGGAGCA
rnacentral:sRNA from 1 species